rnacentral:rRNA from 1 species
GCUCAGGAUGAACGCUAGCUACAGGCUUAACACAUGCAAGUCGAGGGGCAGCAUGGUCUUAGCUUGCUAAGGCCGAUGGCGACCGGCGCACGGGUGAGUAACACGUAUCCAACCUGCCGUCUACUCUUGGACAGCCUUCUGAAAGGAAGAUUAAUACAAGAUGGCAUCAUGAGUCCGCAUGUUCACAUGAUUAAAGGUAUUCCGGUAGACGAUGGGGAUGCGUUCCAUUAGAUAGUAGGCGGGGUAACGGCCCACCUAGUCAACGAUGGAUAGGGGUUCUGAGAGGAAGGUCCCCCACAUUGGAACUGAGACACGGUCCAAACUCCUACGGGAGGCAGCAGUGAGGAAUAUUGGUCAAUGGGCGAGAGCCUGAACCAGCCAAGUAGCGUGAAGGAUGACUGCCCUAUGGGUUGUAAACUUCUUUUAUAAAGGAAUAAAGUCGGGUAUGCAUACCCGUUUGCAUGUACUUUAUGAAUAAGGAUCGGCUAACUCCGUGCCAGCAGCCGCGGUAAUACGGAGGAUCCGAGCGUUAUCCGGAUUUAUUGGGUUUAAAGGGAGCGUAGGUGGAUUGUUAAGUCAGUUGUGAAAGUUUGCGGCUCAACCGUAAAAUUGCAGUUGAUACUGGCGACCUUGAGUGCAACAGAGGUAGGCGGAAUUCGUGGUGUAGCGGUGAAAUGCUUAGAUAUCACGAAGAACUCCGAUUGCGAAGGCAGCUCACUGGACUGCAACUGACACUGAUGCUCGAAAGUGUGGGUAUCAAACAGGAUUAGAUACCCUGGUAGUCCACACAGUAAACGAUGAAUACUCGCGGUUGGUUCGUUAGAGUCAGCCGCCAAGCGAAAGCGUUAAGUAUUCCACCUGGGGAGUACGCCGGCAACGGUGAAACUCAAAGGAAUUGACGGGGGCCCGCACAAGCGGAGGAACAUGUGGUUUAA